rnacentral:rRNA from 1 species
CGAGUUUGAUCAUGGCUCAGGAUGAACGCUAGCGGCAGGCCUAAUACAUGCAAGUCAAGGGGAUCGCAAGAUCACCGGCGGACGGGUGCGUAACGCGUACACAACGUACCCUUGAGCGGGGGAUAGCAUUGGGAAACUGGUGGUAAAACCCCAUGGUGUUGGAAUGUGGCAUCACAAACCAACUAAAGGAUACACUCAAGGAUCGGUGUGCGUCUGAUUAGCUAGUUGGCGGGGUAACGGCCCACCAAGGCGACGAUCAGUAGGGGGUGUGAGAGCAUGGCCCCCCACAUGGGUACUGAGACACGGACCCAACUCCUACGGGAGACAGCAGUAAGGAAUAUUGGACAAUGGUCGGAAGACUGAUCCAGCCAUGCCGCGUGAAGGACGAAGGCGCUCAGCGUUGUAAACUUCUUUUGGACGGGGAUAAUACUGUCGAUUUAUCGGCAAUUGAAGGUACCGUCAGAAUAAGCACCGGCUAACUCCGUG